rnacentral:ncRNA from 1 species
AUAUGUUUAUUAAUUGGUGCUAUGGCUAAAAGUGUGCGCUGAUGAGCUUUAUUUUGAAAUGGAGAUAUAAUCUCUAAACAUUGGUCAAAUAUGUUUCUGACUACGAAAUUAGGUGGCGGGGAAAUCCCAAAGUUGAACAUAGCAUUUUCGCAUAAUGAAGAGAUUAGAUCCAAUCAUGGGGAUCGAUUAGCUCUUCUAGUCAAGUUUUCUAUGAUUAAGACUAUACUGUUUGAAGUUCAUCUACCAGUUGUCUCAAGCCAUGGACUUCAGCGAGCCUGAGAUAGGCUGAAUGCGGCAAACCUUUUUCUUGAACUUUUGGAUAGGGUUAUGGCCUGUCCGCAAACGAAUUGCAUAAACAAUUUCAAGGUAGAGAGUGAACAAUCUAAGGAAAACAAAAUUCAAAAUAUAUGAAGAUCAGGAUUACCUAAGACUAGAAAUAGUUAUGGUAACAGAGGAGUAGUAUUACCCUUUGUAUAUUAUAACAAUAUAUAUUGUCCUUUAAAAAAGGGGAUAAGGGGAAGAACUCUAGAUUUUAAUUUUAGAUUGCUAUCCACUAGUGCUGGGAGUCCAGUACAGAUAAAAUCUAACACUAAUGAUAAGCUUCUAAAGCUAGCUAAGCAUUGUAAAAAGAAUUUUAAUGGUCAAAUCCAAAUGGACAAAUUAUACCGAUUAAUGUAUGAUUCAGCACUGUAUGAAUUGGCAUAUAAAAAGCUAGGCGCUAGUUCUGGGCGCAAAUUCGGCGCAAGCUCUGGAGGGAAUAUAAAUCAGGCGGGUAUUAAUAUUAAACCCCUUGACCAUAACCACUACCCUUUAGUAGGAUCCGCAGAGAUGUUAUCUGAAGUAAUUGAAGGAAUUAUUGCUGAGUUGAAAGAUAGUAGGUUUAGAUUUGAAGGAAAAAAGGUAAAAACCCUAGUAAGUAGACCUCUUACUACUUUUAGAAAUAAACUGGUACAAGAGGUAAUGAGAAUGAUUUUAGAAGUUAUAUUCGAACCAACUUUCUCUGAACACAACCAUGGGUUUAGGCCAGGAAGGGGGUGUCAUUCGGCUUUGAAAGAAAUUAAGGCGCAAGCUAUAAAUUUUGGAGUAUCAACCUGAUAUUUUGAAGGAGAUAUUUCUAAAUACUUAGUUACUUGUGCUGACGAAGUUAUGCAUGCAAGCUCCUCUUUUGUUACUUCGAGACGUGGCGGCGACGGUGGCGGCAAAGCCGCAGCAGCAGCCGCGCUCGUAAGUUCUCAAAUAGAAAGAGUCUUAAUGAAUAUAAUUGAAAAUAAAAUUAAAGACCGUAGGUUUACAGAUUUAAUAUGAAAAGCUUUAAAAGCUGGAUAUUUUGAAUUUAAAAUAUUCAAAGAUUCAAAUACAGGUACUACUCAAGGUGAUAUACUUAGCCCUAUUUUAAGUAACAUUUAUCUAAAUGAAUUAGAUAGAUUUAUUAGUAAGUUAAAAUUAGAGUACGAUAAAGGAAUUAAACCUAAAGUAAAUCCUUAUUAUAACAAACUUUGUAAUAUGAAGAAUAAAACUCUUGAUGUACAAACUAGGAUCCGUAUCCAUAAGUUACACUUGAAGACUCCUUAUUAUAAAACACUAGAUCCUAGUUUCAAGAAAUUAGUAUAUGUAAGAUAUGCUAAUGUUUGGGUUAUAGGUGUUAGAGGAUCCAAAGAGGAUUGUAACAUUCUGUUAGAAAAAAUAGAAAUAUUUUUUAAAGAUAAAUUAAAUAUUGGGGGCGCAAGCUCUCGCGCAAGCUCGAGUUUUGAGCUUGUGCCUAAAACCCUAUCUAGUAUAACUAAUGCUAAAAAGGUCUUAUUCUUGGAUACGGUAAUAUUCAGUAGCUGACACAGAAAACAUCAAUCUUUGACUUCCAGUUCAUCUGGGUUCAUGCUAAGAAAUGGUAGAGAAAUUAGACUUGAAGCACCUAAACAAAUAAUACUACAAAAACUAAAUGAAGCCGGUUUUAUAACUAAUGGGAAACCAUCUCCUAAAUUACUAUGACAACAUUAUAAUAAGGACACAAUAAUAACAUUAUAUAAUUCUGUAUAUAGGUAUAUUAAUUAUUAUAGUUUUGCUGAAAAUAUUUCCAAAAUUUCUUCAUGACUUCACUUUAUAUUAAAAACUUCUUGUGUGAAAUUAUUGGCAUCCAAAUUUAAAUUAGGAACUAUAUGUAAAACUUAUUUUAAAUUUGGAAAAGAUUUAAAAGGAGAUAAUAAAAUCGGUUUUGUGGAUGCGAUGGCUUAUGGAAUAAAUAUUUGAGACUUUAAGAUAUCAACUAAAGGUAUAAUUCAAAUCCUAUAUGCUGGAACAAAAACCUCUAGAGGCGGAGCCGCGAAGCCGCUAAGGAGCAAAGCCGCGAAGCCAGAAAGCCGCCGCACUAAAAUUUAAUAAAAUUAAUGGAUUAAAGGUUAAAAUAGUGCUUUCGAGGAGGCUACGUAUACGAAGUAUGCUUUAUAUAUAGCGCUAUAUAUAGCGCAGCUCCUCCUCGACAUACUUUGUCAGUAUGUAUGUAUGUCAGCACUAAUAUUAUUAUAACCAGACAGUAAUACCACUAUAUAUAUAAUGCAAACGCUUAGUAUAUUAAAAUUGGAGAGCCGUAUGAUGGGAAACUAUCACGUACGGUUCGGGAAAAGGUAUAUAUACUGAUAAGAGGUAUACGUAUCUAGUUCAUUCUCAAGUAGGUUCGGGAAAAGGUAUAUAUACUGAUAAGAGGUAUACGUAUCUAGUUCAUUCUCAAGUAGGUU